rnacentral:misc_RNA from 1 species
AUGGGCCCAGUAAUAGCAGAUCCUGCAAUCAUGAAAAGAGGAAAAAUCAUUUACAUAUUUGCCUAUAAUAAAACACAACUUUAUAAAACAUAAGCCAUCCAAAAGUCAUACAGAAGAACUCGAGUUAUAAACAACCAUGACCCUGCAAAAAAUGACUAUAAAAAUUUUAAGCUUCAUCAUCAAUUAUAGAUGUCUCCUUAAACAUUUAACUGUCCCAUUAUGCUGUUUGAAAAUGACAACACAGAUUUUGAAG